AUGACUGAGAGCUGCUGCUCAGCGACUUCACCCACAGCAACCAUGAGUUUGAUCAGCGUCUUCAUCUGCACACUGGCCCUCUGCGCUCGAGGAUCCAGAGGUCAGGUGACUGUGACUCAGAGUCCUGCAGUGAAAUCUGUUUCUCCAGGAGACACACUCACCAUCAGCUGUAAAACCAGUCCUGAUGUUUACUAUAGCAGUGGUUAUUAUUAUUUGUCCUGGUAUCAGCAGAAACCGGGAAAAGCUCCUAAACUCCUGAUCUAUGCAGCUAGCAAUAGAGCAUCAGGUAUUCCAGCUCGUUUCAGUGGCAGUGGAUCUGGAUCUGAUUUCACUCUGACCAUCAGAGGAGUCCAGACUGAAGAUGCUGGAGAUUAUUACUGUCAGUGUGUCCCUAAUGUCAGUAACUGGAUGUUCACACAGUGUUAGAGCGUCGUACAAAAACCUGGGUGAGUGUGACUGCUGCAGCUGGGACCUACUGCAGGUGCUGAGGGGGACGAUGUGAUACAGCACAAUGACACACACUGGAGCGAGUCCUCCAGUCCAACAGCUGUGUAGUAGAGAUCGUCUCUCUGUCCACUGUGCUGAGACGAGCUGAGAGCUGACAGCAACGUGGCUGCUCUAAAUGAGAGAUUUAACACAUGCAGGAGACGCCUGUGUUUAUCUCAUAGUCACGCUGAUGAUUCUUACUUAUUCUUACUUAUUUCAGUAGUUUUAUUUUAUGUUUUACAGUUUGGGUGAGUAUCCUGUAAGUAAUUAAGUAAUUAAUUAAGUAUUUAAUAACAGACCUCUCUUAAUUGAUAGCUAUUAAAAAAUAAUUGAUAGCUAUGAAACAAUUUUAAUCAUGUGCCAAUAUCGAAAAAAAAAAAAAAUAGCAGGUGGAGAGAAAAACUGAAUUUAGCCACAAAAACCUGGUGAACAUAUUCACCGAUGAGCCCAAACAUUAAGUCACUCACAGACGAAGCCAAUAACGUUGAUUAUCUCGUAACAGCGGCGCAUGUCAUGCUGUGGAAUAUUAUAUUAGACGUGGACAGUCAGUUCUCGUAGUUGAAGUGUUGGAUUCGGGAGAAAUGAGUGACUGAGAAACACAAAGAGGGUGUAGGACUAAGUGUAAAAUUAUAAUAUUUAAUCCAAUGCUCGAGUUUGAUACGAUAGACUUAAACUCCAUUCAUAGUGUUCCUCGAGACUCUAUACAGUACACCUUGUGGAGGGGCUGAUCCUGGACCAUAACACAUCCCAAGUGGCAUAGACAGAUGCUUAAAUACCCCAACAGCAGAAGCUCAUAGGCCAUCCAUCCAUAAUAUAAUUUCGUCGCCAAAAACCAAAACAUUGCUACCACACUCAACUACAUUCUACCUUCUGCUUUUUAAAUCAUCACCCGAUAAACUAAGACUAAUAAACCACACCAAUCAACUCCAAGGUCAAAAACAGCAGAUGUACUAGAUACAGGACCAGGGGUAAAAACUGCCCAUAUUACCCUCCACACUGCUCAUGGGAGGUAGUGGACAUUAGAACGUUGUCCUGCAGUGGCUCUGCAUCUGUACCAGGCUGACCUGAGGACAAGGCAACAGACAUGGGUGGGGAACUUGACAAGAGAACCCAGCUCUAAGCUCUGUAUACGUUUAUGUAAUCCAUUCUCCAAAUUAUUGAAAAUAAAUUUUUUAAUGUUGCUGUAUCCUGAUUAAUUCCUCCACUGUGGCUCCUCUCACCUGCUGGACCUGAAUCAUCCUGAGCUCCAUUCUCUGAUCUCUGUUCCUAACCCUACAGUCACACAAGAAAGUGACAAGUUGCUUAUGUCACUUGUAGUUUAUCUCUCUUAUGGCGUGUAGUGACCACUACUGUUGUUGCUUGUGGGUAACUAUAUAAAACUUCUAAUGCUAAGAAAUUAAAUUACACACUAAUCAGUGAAAUAAUUUAUCUUAUAUUCUUGUUACAUGCUGAGAUUUGGACUAGCUUCAUAUAUUCUCAGAUUAGCAGCACAAGCUAACUGUACUAGCUACUGUGGCGAUAUGGAAGAAGACUAUAACUUAAAAGAAAAAAAAAUGGAAGCAACUGGAAGACCAAAUUAAUGGAAAAAUAUAAAAGAUGGAGAAAGCUUACAGUAGAGGUCAUGUGCUGAGUGCCUGGUGACUCCACCAAUCAUCUCAGGGAAGGGAGAAUAGAGAGAGUGCAAGCUGCCUGCACAUGGGAUACCACAAACAACUGCAGACUGACGUGCAUAUAAAAGGCUAGAGA